rnacentral:rRNA from 1 species
UACAGAGGGUGCGAGCGUUGUUCGGAAUUACUGGGCGUAAAGCGCGCGUAGGUGGUCUUUUAAGUCCGACUGUGAAAUCCCGGGGCUCAACCCCGUGGGCUGCAGGGGAUACUGGGAGACUGGAGACACGUAGAGGCAAGCGGAAUUCCGGGUGUAGCGGUGGAAUGCGUAGAGAUCCGGAAGAACACCGGAGGCGAAGGCGGCUUGCUGGGCGUGAUCUGACGCUGAGGCGCGAAAGCCAGGGGAGCGAACGGG